AGACUGAAAGGUACUAGAGCCAU
rnacentral:piRNA from 1 species